UUGUGUCAAAGUGUCUUUGAUGGUUAAUUACUUCCUGUUACAAUACAUUCGAAAAGUAAAAAGUAUACACAUUUAAAGCCAAGACUCCAAAGUUUCAUUUCAUGUAGGAAUUACUGCUGAAAGAUUUUUUGAAGAUGAGCAAUUCAUGCAUGAUUAAAAAUUGUGACAACCAACCCCGGUCUCCACUACAUUAACUUAAUAAAAGCAUAUUUCACUUUGGGUAGCCUACCUAAAUAUAUCAUACAAUGAAGUAUGUUCAUGUACAUGUUAUAUUUAUUAAAAAUAACAGAGGCAGUAUUUCGCUCUUGAAAUACAUUUUUAUAAUCUUCAUACUUUUGUAUAAUUAGCUUAUGCUCCUCCGCUAAAAAAAAAUACACUGCUUGUAUGUGCUCUCUCCGUUUUCUAUUCCGAUUGGUUGUUCGUGCCGACGUCACUCUUUUAUGUGCACGCGCGGGUGGAGUAAUCAUAACCUAAAGAUCAAAGCCUGAGUUGACAGAGAAAGUUGAUAAGCCGCUUCAUAUGGGACCAAUAAAGCCUGAUUGCAUCGGAUUGGUUUUGUCAACUCAAAACCAAUCCUGUAACCCCGAGUUUGUUCAGCUACCUUCAUGGUAUAGGCCCCUGGGGCCUGUUGCACAAAAGUAGAAUUAAGACAUCCAGGAUAAAUGACUGAGCUGAGCUCAAUGAAGCCAAAACAAGUGCGUCCAGGCUUAAUUGGUUGCACAAAGACCAAGCCAGGAUGAUCAGACACGGAUUCAUUAAGCCAGGUGAAACCAAUCCUGGAUAGGUGCGUGCUCACGGAUCACUCAAAUAGACCCCGCCACCGAUCACAGAUUCACCGAUUCACCAUGGCAACUAGCGGCGUUCUUUUACCCGUCAGAGGCACAAAUCCAUACGAGGAGGUAAAUACAUAAUUAAGAAGAAAGGCAACACAACCACAGUGAUAAAGCAAAGAGAAAAAGCGUGGCAAAGUAUUGCAGACCGCCUGAAUGCGUAAGUAGUGCACAAUUACACACUCACCACUCCGCUGAAACAUCACUAUUACAAUUAAAAUAUUUAAUUCACAUCUCCAAAACCGCAAUUGUACUCUGAUUAUAAAACAGUUAAUUUUUUAUUGAAAUGGACUGCAAAUAUGAGUGAAAUUGUGUAAAGUAACUCCAUCACACUGGAUAAGGCUUCAAUAAAUUAUAAUGAAAGCCUUACAUUAUUACUACCCUCAUUAUGUACUCUGCUUCUUAUGUUGUCCACCGUUGACUUUUUUUCUGCUUUUAUUAAUGUAAAGCUGCUUUGAAACAAUGAAACAAUUGUGAAAAGCGCUUUAUAAAUAAAAUUGAAUUGAAUAAAUAGAUGAUCUAUUAAUAAUAAUCAUUUUAAUUUAUAAAGCGCAUUUCAAAGGACCCAAGGUCACUUGCUCAUUGCACUGCAACAAAAUGAUUUUCUUCGUGUGUUUGUCUUGCUGUCAGUAAAAAUAUCAAAAAAUUCUUCAAUUAAGAUGUAUUAAAAGUUUUCUUAAAAUACUUUUUCAUAAACACUUAAUUUAAAACAAAUUUUCAUAUUCCAUUGGCUGAUUUUUUUGCUUAUUUUCCUAGGUCAUUUUGCCCAUCAAGAAACAGCAUCUUAAUUCAAGAAUUUUUUUAUAUUUUUACUGAAAAUAAGACAAAAAUACAAAGUAAGUCAUUUUUGCAGUGUGACUCCAUUGAAUGUUCUUGUGUGAUAAAGAAAGUCUCUCUUUUUGUGUGUGUGUGAUGUAGAUUAAAUAUGACCGGGCCAAAACGGAUAUGGCAGCAGGUCAAAAAAAAAAAAAUACAAGAACAUUCUGCAGAAUGGUAAGGGCCCUGACUAAUACUUAAUAAUGCACAAGCAUAGAUUGUACCCAGAAGGUGCCUGCUUACACAUUGUCUGUACUGUCUUAGCAGUGAAAAAGAAUACCCAGAGACAAGGCACGGGUGGUGGGUCACCAAAAGCUGACCUCACCCCAGCAGAGGCCAGCUUUGGAGUUAAAUAAAGGCAGGCCUGUUGGAGGGGAUCCCUGGAAGAAAAGAGACAAGCAUAGGUCCAUCCCAAGAUGCCACCCGCUUCAUACAAGUGUCUGGCAGCAGUGUGUUACUGUUAGAGCCACAAGCACGAGCACCAGACGAUGCUGAUCCAGUGAGUACUCCAUCAAAGGUAUACUGUAGGCCUGGCAUGUCUUGUCUACUAGCUUCAAUAUGAAUCCGAUUAAAUGUGAUAGGGUGAAGGGCCCAUUUCAUCAGCACAUAACGGCAAUGAUGAUGAGGAGACCAUCUUUCUGGAACCAAAAGGCAUAAGGUAUCAUGUCAAACUUGUGAAAGUACUAUUCAGUCUACAAUGGUGAGGAGUCAUCAUUUGGAGCCAUCACAAAAUCUCAUUUCUUUUACAGGACCCAGUGUCAUUGGUGGACUGGACUGCACACACAUAAGGAUAAAAGCCCCCCAGAAUCCUUUGGACCUCUGAAAUCUAUCAGCGCCUAUCACAAGACCUUUCCUCAUCAGAGCGGGAAGCUGUGGAGGAGUUGUGGCCCGGCAUUCGCACCAGGUGGUACAGCGUGCCUCACAUCACCCUGGCUCCAGACACCCGGAGACGACCAAGGCAUGCAACGAGCGAGUACCCAUCUUGAUGCAGCUUCACGGACCGCGUUUCGGGCGAACGGAGACGCCAUCGCCCACGAUGAAAACGGUAAGACUCCACUUGUCAUUGUAACCUGCACUACUUGCCACAUGUACAGUUUUAGCUUCUUCCGUCAGCAUAGAGGGGUUUACAUGUGCUAAGUGUAUUGAAGUAGUAAGGCUGACGGAGAAGGUUGCAGAACUAGAAGCGCGCAUCCGAACGCUAGUUGAGGACAGUAAGACCGCUAAUGUUAAUGUUACAAACACUGUUUCGGGUGCGCCUAGUGUUAAGCGUAAUACACAUGGCUCGGUUCCGACUUCAGAGUCAAGGCGGCUGACUAACUGGGUGACUGUCAGGCGGCAUAGUCACAUUCGGCACCCAAAUCACGUUCCUGUUUUAAUAUCAAACAGAUUUUCUCCACUCAGCAAUACACCGGCUGAGACGUCUGUUAAAGGUGCCCUGGUUAUUGGAGAUUCUAUACUCAGGGACGUUGGCAUUGAGGCACCAGCCACCAUAGUCGAUUGUAUACCGGGAGCCAGAGCAUCUGACAUUAGAUCCAAACUUAAAGUGCUGGCUAAUGCUAAAUGUAAGUUUUCUAAGAUUGUUAUUCACGCCGGCACGAAUGACAUCAGACUCCGCCAGUCGGAGAUCACCAAAGAUACUAUUAAAGAGGUGUGUGAAAUUGCAAAAACAAUGUCAGACAAUGUAAUUUGCUCUGGUCCCCUCCCCGCCUACCGGGGGGAUGAAACUUAAAGUAGAUUAGUAUCUCUUCAUGGCUGGAUGUCAAAGUGGUGCCCUCAGCAUAACGUAGGGUUUAUAGACAAUUGGAAGCAUUUCCGGGGAAGACCUGACCUGCUAAAGAGAGAUGGCCUCCAUCCGUCUCCGGAAGGAAGUGCUAUACUCUCUAGAAAUCUGACCAAUAGUCUUACUUUUGAUAUUGUCUGACUAUCCAGGGCCCAGGUCAGGAAACAGACGCGAAGCGGAGUGCCUGCAACCCCUUCAGCCGUUACUUAUUCACGAUACAGCACUUGCCUCGAGUACCUUAUUGCUUUUAUAAAACGGUUACCACACAAUAUGAAAGUAAAAAAAAUAUUAGUGCAACUUUCAUGAAGUUAAAUCAAUAAAAGCAUUCCUUCCGCUAGAAAAAAUAGUCCCUGACUGCAAACAACAACAUGAAAGCUCAAAUAAAAACAACAAACUGUUCUCAGACUUUGUCUCAUUAUAUGUUUAUGUUAAGGGUAAGGGUGUUGCUAAGGGCGCAGUGAUAUUAAAUAGAACCGUUGGGUGAAGUGGUCAUAGCAGUGUUUUAUCGUGAAUAAAGCACACCUAUUGACCAAUCAGAAUCAAGGAUUGGAACUAACCGUUUUAUAAGUUACAAUAUUACGACUUCAUUCUCUGUCUGUUUUUUUCCUCUUUGGCCCUAAUGUUCUAUCAUUUUAUAUAGAUAUAUAGUCUAUUGGAAACUGUAAAUUUUCUAAUGAUAGCAACAUCAUCUAAAAAUCAUAAUUUAUUCAAAAUUAUUGAAAUUAAUGAUCACAAACAUUUAAAAAAUGACAGUGGGUCUAGUUAUAUGUGAUAACAAUGUAUAUUGGGCAGUGAUAUAACUAUUGGUUUCCGUUUGUGGUGACUGCUGACUGACAUAAGGGAUGAAAUUAAAUAGAUCCUGGAAUUUAGCCUGGUCUGGAGCAGGCUAGCUCCACAGAAUAGAUCUCCAUGGUAAAUUGUACUAUAACAUAUCCUCCUGCCCCCUAUCCAGCUUUAGUGCAACCGGAUCACGGAUCAAUUGAGCCAGGAUCACCAAGAUAUCCCGGCUUAAUCCCUUAUCCUAGUUUUGUGCAAUAGGCCCCGGGUGUGCAUCUUGACACAAAACAAAAACACUGAUGUGUUAAGAUAUGUCAGUACAAAGUGUUUUUAAAUUAAGGCAACUCAACCAUGCAUUUUAGUCUGGGACUAGGAUAAACCCUGUUUGGGAAACCACUCCAUAUAAUUAUUAUUAAAGUAAUUCUGCUAAAUGUAAAGUAAUUGACUGUAGCAACAAUCUGAAUGCCCGCAGGUGUCACUGAUAAUGAUUGAUUGCCUGCACAUAAGUUGGCCGACUCCCAAACUACACGUUGGCUAUCUCUCCCCGCAUAUUUGGACCACUUACAAUUGGUAGUACGCGAGCGUCUCGUGCAGAUACUGAAACGAUUUUUUAGUAACAGCUCGUGCAGAUACUGACACAUUUUUAAACCGCGUCAUUGUUUGUGAAAGUUGAUCGCGUCUCAAAAGCACGGCGUUUAUUACGCGUGAGAUGCUGCAAAGACGCGAACGCAAUUGUCUAUUCGUCUGUGCGUGUUUACAUUGGAAACAAAUGUAUAAAGUAACGGAGUAAACGACAAAAGAGUUUUGUCUGUCCCUUUCUGUGUUUACCUAAGAACCAUGGUUCAGUUGUUUAACGUAACAGUUUUCCUGAAAAUGUCUGAUCCCAGCCUGCUAUGCAACAUUCCCGAAUUGUUUUAGCUACUCAUAUCAUAUUUGUUCUGAUCAAAGGAAAAGAUAA